UACGGGGGGGCAAGCGUUGUUCGGAAUUACUGGGCGUAAAGGGCUCGUAGGCGGCCAACUAAGUCGGAUGUGAAAUCCCCAAGCUUAACUUGGGAACUGCAUCCGAUACUGGAUGGCUUGAAUCCGGGAGAGGGAUGCAGAAUUCCAGGUGUAGCGGUGAAAUGCGUAGAUAUCUGGAGGAAUACCGGUGGCGAAGGCGGCAUCCUGGACCGGCAUUGACGCUGAGGAGCGAAAAGCUAGGGGGAGCAAACGGG
rnacentral:rRNA from 1 species